GAGGUUACGGGAAGGAAGGGCGAGUGUGCGCACGCGCGGGCACUCCCCAGCCUCGUACCUGGUUACCUAGGAGACGGCGAGGCGCUCACCCUCCUGGUUUGGGUCGUGCUUCUUUGCUCCAGGCCUUGGCUCAGGCGGCAGGUGGGGGAGAGUAAACGUGUUGACCCAAAGUUGCAACUCCCAAGAAGAAACCUCACGUCGGGUUGCAGGAAAGCAACAAACCUCUACAGGCUGGAGAGGAGAAUGUGUGGGACAAGCAGGGCCUCAUGAUUUCAGCUACUUGCUUGGGCCUUCCCAAGCCCCACUGUGUGGGUUGAGGAUCCCUGAGGAUCUGGAUUUUGUCUUUGCUCUGCUCGGGGCCAGGAUCUGGACCAACUCCCUGGCUGUGUGGCUGCAGACCUAUCCCUCCCUCCUUCACGUGCUCCUGUUCCUCUUGCUGUGCUCUUACUGGCGACAUAGUUAGGCACCUACUGGGAGCAGAACUCAGAGAAGAAAGAGACUUAUGAAAGUGAUGGCUGUUUUAAAUUAGAACUGUAGAGUCAUCUUACUUUUUUUUUUUUUUUUUUUUUUUUUUUUUUUUUUUUUUUUGCCAGGCCCGCAGCAUGCAGAAGCUAUGGGGCCAGGGAUCGAACUAGCACUAUAGCAGUGACAACGCCAGAGCCAGAUCCUUAGCCCCCUAGGCCACUGGGGAACUCCCUAAUGUUUAAACUUUUUAUUGGUGAACAAAUUUCCUACCUUCAAAGAUACAUAAUUUCACAAAUAGAAAUACAUGAAAAAGCUAGUAUUCGUGUUAGAUUUCAGUAAAGAAGUCUUAGGCCCAAGGUGAAGAGGAAUUUCCAGUUUAUGAAUAUAUUUAAGUACCCAAGCUGGCUACCGUGUAGUGUAUAGAGAGCUCUUUUGAAAGGCCUUGAAGGAGAGACUGAAUUUCUAGCUGGCAGGAAUGGUUUGGGUUAAGGAUUUCAUUUCUGUGAUGUUUCUAAUUAAAACCUCCCAGCUCCUCUGGCCGAAUCAGGCCACUUUGGUCUCUCGUUAUUUUGGUAUUUCC
rnacentral:lncRNA from 9 species